rfam:Mustela putorius furo unplaced genomic scaffold scaffold00056, whole genome shotgun sequence.
AGCUUUGCGCAGUGGCAGUAUCGUAGCCAAUGAGGUUUAUCCGAGGCCUGAUUACUGCUAAUUGAAAACUUUUCCCAAAUAACAUUCCAUUGUAUGAACAGAGCAUGUUUUGGUAUCCAUUUAUCAUCUGGUGGACAUC